UCACGAGUGACUAAUUUUAUCCAGGUCUCCGGCACGAUGGGUACAAUCACUAUUCAGUGUUUAAUGUAUCACCGGUGAGCUCCUCAGUUCGCUCACAGUCUUCCGAUGGCGUCUCUGUCUCUUUCCUUUACUUCUUCUUCUGCUUCUUCUCUUUGUCCAUCCUCACUUUCCCUAUUUCUAGUGGAGAAGAAGAGCAAAGAAAAAGCUAGGAUGGUCGAAGAUUACGACAAUUUUGGGUUUCCCCGCUGCGCAUUCGCUUCGCCUGUGAGAAAUGGAGCAGCAUCUGCUCCUUCCUCAUCAUCUUCGUCGGUCCGUACGGGUGGCCCUAAACGUGAUCCUCCUGCUAAGAAGCGUCUCUGGAAGGAAGGAGAGUUCCCUGGGAUUUCUGAAGCUUCGGUGCCCAGACCUUCAAGAACGCCCAUCAAGAAUGUUAAGAAGAAGGUUGAUAAAAAGAACAACGCUAAGGCCUGGGUGAACACAGUCACCGAAGCAUUGGCUGAACGAAUUCAGAAGAAGCAAUGGGAAGGUGCCCUACAGGUUUUUGAGAUGCUCAAAGAACAAUCUUUUUAUCAACCAAAGGAGGGCACUUACAUGAAACUCUUGGUUCUCCUUGGUAAAUCGGGCCAACCUCAUCGGGCUAGUCAACUCUUUGAGACAAUGGUUGAAGAAGGAUGUGAACCCACCCCAGAACUCUACACGGCAUUACUCGCAGCUUAUUGCCGUAGCAACCUUCUUGAUGAAGCAUUCUCAGUUCUCAACCAAAUGAAGACCCUACCCCGUUGCCAGCCUGAUGUCUUUACUUACAGCAUCCUCAUAAAGGCUUGUGUAGAUGCAUUACGGUUUGAACUAGUUGACUCCCUGUAUGAAGAAAUGGAUGAUCGCUUAAUAACUCCCAACACAGUGACACAAAACAUAGUCUUAAAUGGCUACGGAAAGGCUGGUAAAUAUGACCGGAUGGAGAAAGUGCUACAUGGCAUGCUUGAGAGCACUACCUCCAAACCUGAUGUCUGGACCAUGAACACUAUUCUAAGCUUAUUUGGAAACAAGGGUCAGAUUGAGAUGAUGGAGAGAUGGUAUGAGAAGUUCCGCACCUAUGGAAUUGAGCCAGAAACACGCACUUUCAAUAUUCUGAUCGGUGCUUAUGGGAAGAAAAGAAUGUACGAUAAGAUGUCAUCUGUGAUGGAGUACAUGCGCAAGCUGUCCUUUCCCUGGACAACCUCGACUUACAACAAUGUGAUUGAGGCCUUUGCAGAUGUUGGGGAUGCAAAAAACAUGGAAUAUACAUUUGACCAAAUGCGUGCAGAGGGAAUGAAAGUGGACACAAAAACUUUCAGCUGCCUUAUUAAUGGGUACGCUAAUGCUGGUCUCUUCCAUAAGGUGUUGAGCAGUGUUCGUUUGGCUGGUAAGUUGGAAAUACCUGAGAAUACUUCGUUCUAUAAUGCAGUAAUUUCUGCAUGUGCAAAAUCAGAUGAUUUGAUGGAGAUGGAAAGAGUUUUCAAGCGUAUGAAGGAGAAGCACUGUCCGCCUAAUUCAUCAACUUACUCCAUUAUGGUGGAGGCAUACGGAAAAGAAGGUAUGAAUGACAAGAUCUUUGAUUUAGAGCAGGAGAAAAAAGAGAUGGUUGCCAAUGGCUUAGAAAUUGACUGAGGGUAGUGGGAACGGACUUAGCUGGGUGAGAUCUGAUAGAUAAUACAGAAUGGAACUGCUUGCUGUUGGAGACAGUUUUUGCUUGGAACAAACUGAAUUGCCUUUCAAAAGUUAUGCUGGGCUUCAUUAGAAGACUUGGCAAUGUAAUCAGGGAUGACAUCUUAUCAACACUUUAAAUAGCUGCCCCUGGGCCGCAAAAUAAAUCAUCCCAUGCCAACGGAUAAUGGCAAUAGACCUGUGUUUCACUGCCGUAGGCUUUCUCUGUUUGAUGUCUUCUUCUGCCUGUCGGAGGAAUUUCACAUGUUGUCCAAAUUUCAGUGUGUCCAUUGUGAAGGAAAAGAGACGAAGCUGGUUGGGUGGAUUUUCUCGAAAAGUUCAGGGUAUGUUGGGUUAUUGGAUCAGCAAUGGGGAGAAUAAUAAUAUGGGGGAAAGAAAAUUGGAUUGAAGUGUAUGAAACUACCUAUGGUGACUCUGGAUACUUAAAUUCCAAGAGAAAAAGGUUGCUUUGGUCUGAAUAAAGUAGAUUUUAAUGUAAAAUUUUAUUCAGAAUAUGAAAUCCUUGCACUGAAAAGUGCAACUUGUUAAAACUAGGAUUCAGUUUGUAGCUGACAAAACAGAUAACUAAUAUAUUUGAUGUGUUCCUAGAAAACCCUAACAUCCCACAUGCUCCACAGUCCAACCAACAGAAAAAAAAUCUGUUGCUGCUGAAGUUUCCCCCUUUUACCCAAAAUGUUGUCAAAGACGGUAAAUUGAGAAUGUCAUGUUAACCCACAGCAAAUAAAUUAAGUAUAGGUGAUAUUUUUGUUCAGUUUCCAUUGAAUGAUUUGACCAGUUUUACUCUUCUUUUGGUUGAUUUCCCCAAGCAAGUUUUAAAUUUUAGAGAGCAACAACCUUAAAAUUGUAGGGUGAUGUGUAACCUGCUCAGGAUGAUCAGUUUGGAUGGGAAGUAUUGAAUUAGACUGUAUUUGGAACUUGAAGGUUGAGACUUCAUUGUGUU